rnacentral:rRNA from 1 species
AGUGAACGCUGGCGGUAGGCCUAACACAUGCAAGUCGAACGGCAGCACAGUAAGAGCUUGCUCUUACGGGUGGCGAGUGGCGGACGGGUGAGGAAUACAUCGGAAUCUACUUUUUCGUGGGGGAUAACGUAGGGAAACUUACGCUAAUACCGCAUACGACCUACGGGUGAAAGCAGGGGAUCGUCGGACCUUGCGCGAUUGAAUGAGCCGAUGUCGGAUUAGCUAGUUGGCGGGGUAAAGGCCCACCAAGGCGACGAUCCGUAGCUGGUCUGAGAGGAUGAUCGGCCACACUGGAACUGAGACACGGUCCAGACUCCUACGGGAGGCAGCAGUGUGGAAUAUUGGACAAUGGGCGCAAGCCUGAUCCAGCCAUACCGCGUGUGUGAAGAAGGCCUUCGGGUUGUAAAGCCCUUUUGUUGGGAAAGAAAAGCAGCAGGUUAAUACCCCGCUGUUCUGACGGUACCCAAAGAAUAAGCACCGGCUAACUUCGUG